rnacentral:rRNA from 1 species
GCAACGCCGCGAGGAGGAUGAAGUCCCUUGGGAUGUAAACUCCUUUCGAUCGGGACGAUUAUGACGGUACCGGAAGAAGAAGCACCGGCUAACUCUGUGCCAGCACCGCGGUAAUA